CUGCGUGCAAGAUGGUAUCAGUGUCAACUUUAGUGUUGAUUGUUGUUUGUACCGGGAUCUGCGCUGAUGGGUUUCUUCACGUCGACUAAUUCCAGACACUGAGGAAUGCCUGUCCCUCCCUGGGACUUGCAUUGACACCUCCAUGGUCCAGUGUAGGGGUCUCACGGUACAAAUCUGUGGGCCCCUGCCGGAAGCAGCCUGUUGCAUUCACUCUGACAUUGGAAACUGAGUGUCUUAAGAACGUCAACACAAGCAACCCUCCUGUUAAAGUGCUUUUAAAUUCGAAAAGAAUAAAUUGUCCAUGAACUUUACACGAAGAAUUGAAGCAUUAAAUUAACAUGCAA